rnacentral:rRNA from 1 species
GAUGAACGCUGGCGGCGUGCUUAACACAUGCAAGUCGAACGAAGCAUUUGCGACAGAUUUCUUCGGAUUGAAGUUGCUUAUGACUGAGUGGCGGACGGGUGAGUAACGCGUGGGUAACCUGCCUUGUACUGGGGGGAUAGCAGCUGGAAACGGCUGGUAAUACCGCAUAAGCGCACAAUGUUGCAUGACAUGGUGUGAAAAACUCUGGUGGUAUAAGAUGGACCCGCGUCUGAUUAGCUAGUUGGUGAGAUAACAGCCCACCAAGGCGACGAUCAGUAGCCGACCUGAGAGGGUGACCGGCACAUUGGGACUGAGACACGGCCCAGACUCCUAGGGAGGCAGCAGUGGGGAAUAUUGCACAAUGGAGGAAACUCUGAUGCAGCGACGCCGCGUGAGUGAAGAAGUAAUUCGUUAUGUAAAGCUCUAUCAGCAGGGAAGAUAGU